AUUGAACGCUGGCGGCAGGCCUAACACAUGCAAGUCGAGCGGCAGCGGGAAAGUAGCUUGCUACUUUUGCCGGCGAGCGGCGGACGGGUGAGUAAUGCCUGGGAAAUUGCCCAGUCGAGGGGGAUAACAGUUGGAAACGACUGCUAAUACCGCAUACGCCCUACGGGGGAAAGCAGGGGACCUUCGGGCCUUGCGCGAGUGGAUAUGCCCAGGUGGGAUUAGCUAGUUGGUGAGGUAAUGGCUAACCAAGGCGACGAGCCCGAGCUGGUCUGAGAGGAGGAUCAGCGACACGGGAAACGAGACACGGCCCAGACUCCUACGGGAGGCAGCAGUGGGGAAUAUUGCACAAUGGGGGAAACCCUGAUGCAGCCAUGCCGCGUGUGUGAAGAAGGCCUUCGGGUUGUAAAGCACUUUCAGCGAGGAGGAAAGGUUGAUGCCUAAUACGUAUCAACUGUGACGUUACUCGCAGAAGAAGCACCGGCUAACUCCGUGCCAGCAGCCGCCGUAAAAC
rnacentral:rRNA from 1 species